rnacentral:rRNA from 1 species
UAUUUGAGAGUUUGAUCCUAGCUCAGGGUGAACGCUGGCGGCGUGGAUAAGGCAUGCAAGUCAAGGGGUCCGCCUUCGGGCGGAAACCGGCAAACGAGUUAGUAACACGUAGGUAACUACCCAUCACACGGGCAUAGCCAGCCGAAAGGCUGGGUAAUUCCCGAUGGUCUCGCGAGAGUAAAGUCCGCCAACCGGCGGAUGGUGGUGGAAGUGCCUGCGUCCUAUCAGCUUGUUGGUGGGGUAACGGCCUACCAAGGCUUUGACGAGUAGCUGGACUGAGAGG